rnacentral:rRNA from 1 species
GGUUACAGCCAUACCACCCGGAAUGUGUCUGAUCUUGUCUGAUCUCAGAAGCUUAAGCAGGGCCGGGCCUGGUUAGUACUUGGAUAGGAGACCUCUUCUGAAAAUGAUAGUCUUCUGGGAAGA